rnacentral:tRNA from 1 species
GGGCGUAGUUCAAUGGCAGAACAUCAGCUUCCCAAGCUGAAUACGCGGGUUCGAUUCCCGUCGCCC